CAGUUCUGAGUCCUGGUGCUUUCUUUUGGAGUGGUGCUGAGGGCAGAGCCUUAUGCCCUGGCUGCUGGAGGCUUGGGACUUGCACCAGCCUGGAGAAGAUGACUCUUAGUCCUUUUGAGCACUAUUGAACAGUCUGUAGAAAGCACUUGAUCAAGUCAUCACUUAGCUGCUGCUAAUGGAUCAGAUAGAAGAUUAAGGCAGAAGUGGAAGUUCUUUAUGGAUUAGUCAUAGACGAUCUGUUCCUAGCGUGUACCAGGACAUACAGUAAUACCCAUGGGGGUGCCAAGGAGCCGAACUUCACACAUCUCCUGAGAGUCAGUAAUUCAGCACAACAUAUGCACAGGGAUGGAUUCUCCAGCCCUAAUUUGCAGCUGAAAUCUAGAGGACACUAGGAAAAAAAUCUAAAUCAGGUGAAAUUAAACAGACUUCAGAUAUAUGGGAGAUGGACUCUGAAAGCUACUAGUGGCAAAAUGGGAGAUUGUUUUUGAAGAACAGCGUGUCUCAUUCCUGACCCCACAGCCUUCCACGCGAGCCAGGCGGAGAGCUCUGAUGCCAAUCCAAUAGGCAUGCUCAGCAGAUGUCCAAGUCUCUGUUUUAUAUCCAGUGAUACUAAGAGUUGUUUAUAAAGGCAAGACGUUAUUGUUUUGAGUGUUUGGCAUUGCCUCUCAUCUUCUAAAAGUUGAGAGGAACGAAUCUGAUGAUGUUUCCAGCUAUUUCAUCUCUGUUAUGAGAGUGGGCUGUCAGAAUUCACUGCGUCUUCUCUGACUUAUCCUGCACUUGUUUUACUCUUCAUUGCCCUGUUAGGAAACUUUUU